rnacentral:rRNA from 1 species
GACGAACGCUGGCGGCGUGCCUAAUACAUGCAAGUAGAACGCACAGUUUAUACCGUAGCUUGCUACACCAUAAACUGUGAGUUGCGAACGGGUGAGUAACGCGUAGGUAACCUGCCUGGUAGCGGGGGAUAACUAUUGGAAUCGAUAGCUAAUACCGCAUAAUAUUAAUUAUUGCAUGAUAAUUGAUUGAAAGAUGCAAUUGCAUCACUACCAGAUGGACCUGCGUUGUAUUAGCUAGUAGGUGAGGUAACGGCUCACCUAGGCGACGAUACAUAGCCGACCUGAGAGGGUGAUCGGCCACACUGGGACUGAGACACGGCCCAGACUCCUACGGGAGGCAGCAGUAGGGAAUCUUCGGCAAUGGACGAAAGUCUGACCGAGCAACGCCGCGUGAGUGAAGAAGGUUUUCGGAUCGUAAAGCUCUGUUGUAAGAGAAGAACGGGUGUGAGAGUGGAAAGUUCACACUGUGACGGUAUCUUACCAGAAAGGGACGGCUAACUACGUG